rnacentral:rRNA from 1 species
AUACGGAGGGUGCAAGCGUUAAUCGGAAUUACUGGGCGUAAAGCGCGCGUAGGCGGCUUGUUAAGUCAGAUGUGAAAGCCCUGGGCUCAACCUGGGAACUGCAUUUGAAACUGGCUAGCUAGAGUUUGGUAGAGGGUAGUGGAAUUCCGGGUGUAGCGGUGAAAUGCGUAGAUAUCCGGAGGAACACCAGUGGCGAAGGCGGCUACCUGGACCAGAACUGACGCUGAGGUGCGAAAGCGUGGGGAGCAAACAGGAUUAGAAACCCCAGUAGUCC